AAUGCCAGUUUCUAACUCCCAGAAACCCAUUCUAGGACCCAAACACAUGUGAUCUCUUUGGGAAAUUUUCUAGUUCAGUUCAACAAAUGGUAGGCUUUAUCGAUGGUCUCCAGUCCUCUGUGAUGAGUUACUUGGUCUUGUUGCUAUCAUCAAGAGUAUGUAAGAGGUGGUUCAUUUGAAAGAAGAAUAGCAUUGCUUCUAUGAUCCAGCCUGCCAGAGGAGCUCUUUGGGAGAAUUGGUACUUCAUACAUGGAAGUAGAGGUGCUGGGGGCCAACUGGGGAUGGGGAGAAGGUGUGGCCCCUCCAGGUCCUCCCGAGAACCAAGGCAAUAUCCUGUUCUUCAGGUGAGAGGAGAAACUGACGGGACAGGGUCAGUUUCAGUCCUUCUGGGCCCUCGCCUCCCUAAGGACUGUCAUCCAAAUGGCUUUCUGUGGUCUCUGUCAGUUCCUCACCUCCUAAACAUCAAUACAGAGCUGGAAAGUUUCUUAGGGGCCACAGGUAGGCCCUAUUCCUCAUCACUUGCUACAAUAGCACAGCCACACCCCUCAUCCCUCCCACUCUCUCAGGAAAGACUGGGCUUGGUCCUCCUCCUUUGCUUACCAAGGAGGAAGGAGCCAAGCAUGUCCACUCUGGAGACGAUAAAGCCAAAGAUGCCAUGGGGGCCACAUUGGACCAGAUGGACCCUGGCGUUCCCUUGGAAGAACUGGUCUGGACCCAGAGUGCUCACUAUUUCCUGAGAACAUGCAGCACAGCAUUAUAUACCCAGGGAGGACAGGAGGGGCAGAGAGGCUUGCAAUGAUAGUUGGCCAGAAACCCAGACUAAACUCUUUAGCACAGCUCCUGGUGAUGCUGGGGUCAAGGAUACCCAUUGUCAACCUCCUUUCUCACUGAAACUUGC
rnacentral:lncRNA from 1 species